rnacentral:lncRNA from 1 species
CAGACUUUGAUUUAAGGAUUUUGAACAAAUGAGUAGGGCAGGGUCAUCUAGGUCUUUGUAAAAAUGUACUUAUAGCCUUGCAAAGUACUGCCCUCUUCUCAGGGGAAAAUACAAUUCUGUUUUGCCUAGAAAUGGGAUAAUUGUUUCACAUUCUUUUUUUUAUCUCCAGCAACUCACAGGCUGGAGAUAAAGAUCAAGACAUGUUAUCUUACAAGAUUCCUGACAAAUUUGUGCUUGGCUAAAUUCCCUGACCUAGAAUGUCCAAGCUGAGAAUAUCUCAGCAUGGUUUUGCUGCUGCAAGGCUCUUUAGCUGCUGGCCUGACAUGACAUCCUUUUCUCUUGUGGACCCAAGAAGGAUACUGCACUGCAAUGACAUACAGUCUAUUUGCCAAGACAGUGAAAAACAGAUGGAUAUGAGGUGCAAGAAGACUAAGAAGCAGAAUGGAAAAAGACAACUCCGAUGGAUACAGGACUUUUCACUGUCUGUGCCGACCAGAGACUCACGUCUCUUCCCACAGCGCAGAAUUAGCCAUUUUAAAGUUACUGGCUACAAAAGAGCUCACACAAAAACAUACUUGCUGCAGUCAGAAGUCUCCACAAGAGGACACGCAAUAAUAUAA